AUCCUUUGCAUCUUUGCCGCCCCCAACGCCUCUGCACUUGGCUGCCUGGACUAUUUUGGCCCCACCCAGCAGCCUUAGUGGAGAGAAAACAACGCACCUGCGUGCCACACGAUGAGCACCGUUAGCUUCUCUCCUCUUCGUUCCGUUUUCUGGCCAGUUUCUUCAACAACCCGCAGCCCCCUUAUUUCCUGUGUUCGCUGCACUUAUUUAACAAUCAGUGUGCCAAGUAUAGCCCGCUUUAAUUAUAGCUGUGCUCCACGUGGUUGUAAGCAGAGCACACAUACAAUUUUGUAUUCUGAUUUUGUUUUCAUUUAAUUUAUAUUAAGAAUUACAUUGCCUUAUUCCUACAUAGUUUCUUUUUUUUUUUUUUUUUUGAGACGGAGUCUCGCUGUGUUGUCCAGGCUGGAGUGCAGUGGUGCAAUCUAGGCUCACUGCAAACACUGCCUCCCGGGUUCAUGCCAUUCUCCUGCCUCAGCCUCCCGAGUCGCUGGGACUACAGCUACCAUGCUCGGCUAAUUUUUUGUAUUUUUUUAGUAGAGGCAGGGUUUCACCGUGUUAGCCAGGAUGGUCUCGAUCUCCUGACCUCGUGAUCCGCCCGCCUCGGCCUCCCAAAGUGCUGGGAUUAGAAGCGUGAGCCACCGCGCCGGGCCACCCCUACAUAGUUUCUAAUAAACAUUACUGUGUUGGCUUCAUAAUUAUAUUAUAUCAAGGGGAUAUAUUAUUAUUUACUUCUAAAGGCUGCAAAAAAAUCUGAAUUAAAGAUUUGACUGGACUCCCUACCUCCCCGGCCCAAAGCUCCCAGGCCCAAAGCUCCCAUGCCUGAGCUCCUCAGCACUUGGAGAAGAGGUGGCAGCGGGGCAAACUGUCUCCAGACCACCACUGUAGGGAGAAGCAACCCGAUGCCAUGACACUGGCGGAGUGGAGAAAACAUUCCCACCACUGAGGAUUUUGCUAUGAGGGUUAUCAUGAUUAUGAUAUGACUAGCUACGAUUUACUGAGUUCCUUUAUGUUAGGCAUUGUAUUAUACCAUUUCCUCCUACGACCUGCUGGCACAGCUCAUCUUUCAGAAUUUUCCUGCUAUUUCUGUUUUCUAUUUUAUUGGCAAUGCGUUUCUUUAUAACUGAGUGAAGAAUGUGGCAAGGCUGGGGAAAAUGUUUCUGCCUGUCUCUUUUUGCUCUCUCUCCCCCUCUGAACAGAAAUAGUAUCGUGGCAGUGCCUCUCUUUGUCUGUUAGGAAAAAAAAAAAAGCCAGGAAAAGGAAAUAACAGUGGGUGAUCUACUUUCCGAACAGCGUGAGAAAGAUCCAGAGAAUGUUAGUUUUGCACUGAAGCCGCUUCAACUUCUACUUUUCCAAUAUUACAGGAAGUUUCCUAGCAUUGAGAGGAAAAAGAAACAGUGGCCAGAUACUUUCUCCUAAAAAUAUACAGGAAGGACAAUGUGGAGGCCAAGACUAAUCUGGGUGAUGAGCUCCAGGCCUGCCUCAAAACAGGAGCUGAUGGGAG